rnacentral:lncRNA from 1 species
CCCUUCCCUUGGACUUCCAAAAGGAAUAAUUUUACUCUCUCCUCCGUUCUCCCCACAACUCUCAUCCCCGCUAGCCCGCAGGCCGCCUGCCCCUUUCCGCACCUCCUUUUCCCAUCCAGCGAGAGAAACCUAGCUCCCAGAGCCGGUGCAGUCAGUCCCCUCGCCCCUCCCGCCCCUGCACGGGUCCCCCUCUAGCCGUCGCUGCAACCACCACCUCGGUUCCACUCAACCGAUUUUUGCUGCAUGUCAACACUUAUUACCGAAACAGCAAAGCCUCUCUGCCUCCGCUGAGAGUUUGCAGCAGUGCGGGACCCCCUCGCACACAGUCCUGGGCAGGAACUUUUAUCCUCGUCGCUCUGGAAAGAUGAGACCUAGAACCAC